rnacentral:rRNA from 1 species
GUGUCAGCAGCCGCGGUAAUACGAAGGGUGCAAACGUUGCUCGGAAUCAUUGGGCGUAAAGCGCACGUAGGCGGCUCCAAAAGUCGGAUGUGAAAUCCCUGGGCUCAACCGAGGAAGUGCAUCCGAAACUGCGGAGCUUGAGUAUGGAAGAGGGUCGCGGAAUUCCCGGUGUAGAGGUGAAAUUCGUAGAUAUCGGGAGGAACACCAGUGGCGAAGGCGGCGACCUGGGCCAAUACUGACGCUGAGGUGCGAAAGCGUGGGGAGCAAACAGGAUUAGAAACCCUUGUAGUCC